rnacentral:rRNA from 1 species
UACGUAGGGGGCUAGCGUUAUCCGGAAUUACUGGGCGUAAAGGGUGCGUAGGUGGUUUCUUAAGUCAGAGGUGAAAGGCUACGGCUCAACCGUAGUAAGCCUUUGAAACUGGGGAACUUGAGUGCAGGAGAGGAGAGUGGAAUUCCUAGUGUAUCGGUGAAAUGCGUAGAUAUUAGGAGGAACACCAGUUGCGAAGGCGGCUCUCUGGACUGUAACUGACACUGAGGCACGAAAGCGUGGGGAGCAAACAGG